rfam:Bacillus ginsengihumi strain M2.11 NODE_13, whole genome shotgun sequence.
CGCGGGGUGGAGCAGUCUGGUAGCUCGUCGGGCUCAUAACCCGAAGGUCGUAGGUUCAAAUCCUACCCCCGCAA